AUAGUGUCAGUACCAGUGCUGGUACUACUGCUUCAUUAAAUUUCACCCAUAUACAUACAUACAUACUCUGAUCUAGCUAAAAUUUUGGGGUUUCAUGGAUCAGUUUAGAAUAGGGAAUUGUACGUAAGACGUAAGAGCUACUUGUUUAAUUUGUGUGAUGAGUCCUGUCAAUCGCCGAUCGAUCUGGAUAGAAUUAUGACGACCUAUCUUUCAAUCUUCC
rnacentral:lncRNA from 1 species